rnacentral:rRNA from 1 species
UACGUAGGGUGCGAGCGUUGUCCGGAAUUACUGGGCGUAAAGAGCUCGUAGGUGGUUUGUCGCGUUGUUCGUGAAAACUCACAACUCAAUUGUGGGCGUGCGGGCGAUACGGGCAGACUGGAGUACUGCAGGGGAGACUGGAAUUCCUGGUGUAGCGGUGGAAUGCGCAGAUAUCAGGAGGAACACCGGUGGCGAAGGCGGGUCUCUGGGCAGUGAACUGACGCUGAUGAGCGAAAGCGUGGGUAGCGAACAGG